rnacentral:rRNA from 5 species
GCAUGUGCGCGAGUCAUUGGGACUCUGUUAAACCUAAAGGCGCAAUGAAAGUAAAGGUCCGCCUCGCGCGGACCGAGGGAGGAUGGGCCCGUCCCCGGACGGGCCCCGCACUCCCGGGGCGUCUCGUCCUCAUCGCGAGGAGAGGCGCACCCAGAGCGUACACGCUGGGACCCGAAAGAUGGUGAACUAUGCCUGGUCAGGACGAAGUCAGGGGAAACCCUGAUGGAGGUCCGUAGCGAUUCUGACGUGCAAAUCGAUCGUCGGAACUGGGUAUAGG